AGGACGAACGCUGGCGGCGUGCUUAACACAUGCAAGUCGAACGGAAAGGCCCUUCGGGGUACUCGAGUGGCGAACGGGUGAGUAACACGUGGGUGAUCUGCCCCGCACUUUGGGAUAAGCCUGGGAAACUGGGUCUAAUACCGAAUAGGACCAUGGGAUGCAUGUCCUGUGGUGGAAAGCUUUUGCGGUGUGGGAUGGGCCCGCGGCCUAUCAGCUUGUUGGUGGGGUUAAGGCCUACCAAGGCGACGACGGGUAGCCGGCCUGAGAGGGUGUCCGGCCACACUGGGACUGAGAUACGGCCCAGACUCCUACGGGAGGCAGCAGUGGGGAAUAUUGCACAAUGGGCGCAAGCCUGAUGCAGCGACGCCGCGUGGGGGAUGACGGCCUUCGGUUGUAAACCUCUUUCAGUAGGACGAAGCGCAAGUGACGGUACCUACAGAAGAAGCACCGGCCAACUACGUGCCAGCAGCCGC
rnacentral:rRNA from 1 species